CAUUAGCAUGAUGUUCUAACACUUGUAAAUGAAUAUAGCUCUUGCCUAAUCUGUCAUUUUAAUGCCAUAUAGAUUUUAUUUCACUCGAUGUUGUACCAGAUUCUCAAUAAUAAUAAUCAACUGCUUUGUUGUUCUCUUGCAGAAAUUAAAUUUCUGCAGUGAGUGUGCAACUAAUAAAAGAUGUUGCUUGAGGAAACAAAAAAUAAAUAUGAUGAAUCAUAAAAGUUGGGGGAGGGAGAGGGGAACUUGCUCCUAGAUGAAAGACAAUUACUGAACCAGUGGUGAAUAUGUCUGAUUCUCAUCUUGUCAACAGCUUAAUAACCUUCACAAAGUCUUUAGCCAUGGUACUUAUGUCUGAGCAUUAACCUUGUGGACUUGGUGUUUUCCACAAUUUCAUUUAGAAGCAUUAAAAUAAAAGGUGAGGUAGUAAAAUAGCUAUUCUCUUUGCUCUGCAUCCUGGAUAAGUUUGCUCAUUGUUGCCAUUUUGCACUCACACAUACCUUUUAUCUUUUCCCCUGUCAUAAGCCAUCCAGAAGAGCAGCAUUAAAGGCAGCGGUGUGGGACUUGGAGUAUUGGCAAAGACUGUAAAGUGGAAAAUAAACAGUGUGUCUAUCACUAUGCUACAAGAACACAACACUUGUAGCAGUGAAAUGACAGUCAGUGGCAAGCAACUAAUUGGUCACCAGCUUUGGAGGAAAUAUAUUUUUCUAGACCUCUGUCAUUUAACAUAUUCUUUAAACUCUGUGAAAAUAGAAACUACCAGGUUGAAGUGUUGGCUCUAACCUCCAAAGGAAAGAAAAUGGAUAGUUAAGGCUUCAAGGCUGAGCAAGCAUUUGGAAACUGAGUAAUUGGAGGCAACUACUGCUAGACAAUGAUUUGGUUUCCUGACAUAUAAUGAAUUCACCCCAUUGUGCACAGGUAGUGGGUGGGUUCAACACCAGAUGUAUGAUUAAUGUUGCAUAUCAGAUAGCUUCCACCUGAAUGUGAAUUCAGUGCGAUGACUGAGUUUUCAUUAGAGCCAUCCCUUCUUCCUUUUUUGUCUGUCUCGGAAAUGUAGUCAGUGACAAGCUGCACAAAAGCAAAAGGAAACAUGUUCAUCUAGUAAGAGGAGAAAGGAGCCCGAGAACAUAAAUGUUAACCAAGAAAGAGAAAGUCAGUGUGAGGUAGCAGACAUUUACAGGGCUGUAUUACAAAUGUAGUGUCAUAUUAAAUUUAAAAAAUACUAGAAGUAAAGACCUUAACACAUAGUCAAAUUUACUUAAGCAUUUAUAUCUCUGUCCUAAAUCUGGACAUAUUGUAUGGGGAAAAGAAGGAAUAAAAGCACCCAAAUAAACAUUUUAUUAUUUAAAUGUGUAUCACAUACAGUGUUCUCAUUCAUGUAACUUUGCUGAAUGAUAACUUAGCAUGCACAAAGAGACUUUGAUCUGGAAAAAUACAUUUUAAGAGGAAUAACUGAUUGAUCAUCUUAAUCCACAAAGGCAUAAAGUCCAAGAAUUGUGAGAUAGUUUAAAAUUCUGUAGAUGAAUAGCUUUAUAUAACUCUGUGUGAAAUAUUGGUAGACCUUGUAUAUGCUUGUAAUUGUUGGAUAUAAGGGUCCAAAAAUCCUUUGGAAUUGUACCCCUUAUUGAGUAUGGAUGGUAUGUAUUUUAGUGAGGACAGAAGCUGGCUUCACUCAGAUUCCCAAAGAGUUGCAAUAUCAGAUGGAAGCUGAAAAUCACUUAAUUGUGUAAACUGAAGAAAAAGAAAUAAAAUAGUGAUUUUUAAAGAAAUCUAGGACCUACUUAUGCAUGAAAGAUCUAAAUAGGGAAGGAUUGAUUAAAAGCAGCUCUUAAAGUUGAUUGUUUUCAAUACAUGCUUUUAGUCACAACAAAAAUCAUCUUAGAAUUUCAUCCAUGUGAUUUCAUUUGCAUUUUUAAAAACAAAAAUAUAACCUAAAAAUAUACCCUGAGUUUAUAUCUUUCUAUUACUACUCUGUGUGUAUUACUGGGUUCUCUUUGCUGCUGCUCCUCCUCCUCCUCCUCCUCCUCCUCCUCUUCCUUCUUCCUUUUCCUCUUCCUCCAUAUUUUCUUUUUUUUUUUUGGCCCUUUUUCCUUUUCAGAAGAAAUAACAUAUGAUUUUCUAAGGAACCACACUGACUGAUAUUUAUGGUAACACAAGAACAUGCCACUGACUGUGGCAUGCAGGGAACAUGAGUGACUGACCUGGGUCUCAGCUGCUGCCUUGGCAAUCCAUCCUGACAUUUUGACAUUGAAGAAGAACCUGAAGUCACACAGUGCCAGAUCCAGCGAAAAAGGUGAAUGAGGACACACCACAAUAUUUUCAUUUGACAGAAAUUUCCAUAAACAUUAGAAAUGGAUUCAGGACUUCGAGGCAGCCAUGAAAAGACACUUUGGAAAGAAGAUUUCUAGAACUGCUUCAGAAAUUUGGGUCAUGGACCAAGGUCAACAUUGUGCCUGUGGUUUGGAUGUGGCUAUCGGCUCUGACAGGAUGACACAGCCCGCAUGAAGAUCCUAAUCGUUUUCAGAAGAACAUCUUUGUACACUUGAAAACUGGAGGUAGUGAUGCAUCGGCUCAAGAGACCUCUUUAUUGAGCCUCCGGGCACUUGUUGGUCUGUGUGCCCCGUGGACCAAUUUUGCAGCACUGUCCGAAAGAUGGCCCUCACCUCAUGGCUUCUACUCUGGGAGACGGAAAGCUACUGGAGUGUCUAUACAAGGUGCCAUUUUACAGAGAUUAAGUUGGAGAUUAUCCCACACAGAUGUUGGAAUUACUCUAUUAUGAUUUCAAAGAAAAAUUUCUUCUCUAAACAUUCUUAUUCCAAGGGAAACUGCUCACCAAGGAAGUCAAAAGGAAAGAAAGAAGCAGACUGGGUCUGAGGCUCCCAGAGGUAUCGAACUCGGAACCUUGAGUUUGUGAGGCAGGCA